UUUGGGGAUUGUUAAAUGGAGAGAUGACACUUUACUUUUCAAUGGGUGGAAACGGUGAUUGAGCAUGAGUUGCCUUGCUGUUAUUUGGGUUCUUUAAUUUAUAUUCCUCUGUUACAAUGUUUUUGCCGAAAGGAAAUGUGCUUGCUGCCUAUCUUCAUUAGUUUAUUUUUAUUAGCCUUGGACAACGAGUGAGUGUUGCAUUUACUGGCUGAAGGGUCUCAUCCAGCAGUCAUUUCCAACAGCCCACGUGGUCUCUUUUUAUUCUCCUUCCUUGGAUGAAAGCUAUCGUUGAUGAUUAAGUGGAAAGGAAGUAUGUUGUUCAUUGAAAGCAAUUUAUUUUAUUUUGCUGGCAGUUUUUAAUUAGAGCAAUGGGUUUGGUAAAAGCCAUGGUUGAAGGAAAUUAACAGCUUGGCACGUUAAUUUAUUUCUUGGAAACACAUGGUGUAACACAUUACUUUGUUUUUGCUUUUUAGAAUGAUGAUAAGUUGAUUUAAGGUUGGAGGGUGAUUUGAUUUGGUGCAGAGGUGGUCUACGGCUAGAAUAGGGGGCACGGUUCCCUUGGAUUAAGCAACUUUCAUUUAAUUCUACUUCAUUAUUUGGUGGGGUCACGGAUGCUGAAAGCAAUGAGCUAGUUUUAGUGGAAGUAUUUAUUUUAAUUGAAAGCAUGAUUUCCUCCAUCAUUGAAUGAGGCAAUGACACGUUGGUAGAUGGAAUGAAGCUCGCUGAUUGAUGAGCAUUUCUUUGCUGUUGAAUUUCAACUUAUUCACGCUAUGGG
rnacentral:lncRNA from 1 species